rnacentral:rRNA from 1 species
CACGUAGGGUGCGAGCGUUGUCCGGAAUUAUUGGGCGUAAAGAGCUCGUAGGCGGUGUGUCGCGUCGGCCGUGAAAACCUGCAGCUUAACUGUGGGCUUGCGGUCGAUACGGGCAUCACUGGAGUUCGGCAGGGGAGACUGGAAUUCCUGGUGUAGCGGUGAAAUGCGCAGGAUAUCAGGAGGAACACCGGUGGCGAAGGCGGGUCUCUGGGCCGAAUACUGACACUGAGGAGCGAAAGCCAGGGGAGCAAACGGGAUAGAA